rnacentral:rRNA from 1 species
GUCGAACGGCAGCACGGGAGCUUGCUCCUGGUGGCGAGUGGCGAACGGGUGAGUAAUAUAUNCGGAACGUACCCUAGAGUGGGGGAUAACGCAGCGAAAGUUGCGCUAAUACCGCAUACGAUCUACGGAUGAAAGUGGGGGAUCGCAAGACCUCAUGCUCAUGGAGCGGCCGAUAUCUGAUUAGCUAGUUGGUGGGGUAAAGGCCUACCAAGGCAUCGAUCAGUAGCUGGUCUGAGAGGACGACCAGCCACACUGGAACUGAGACACGGUCCAGACUCCUACGGGAGGCAGCAGUGGGGAAUUUUGGACAAUGGGGGCAACCCUGAUCCAGCAAUGCCGCGUGAGUGAAGAAGGCCUUCGGGUUGUAAAGCUCUUUUGUCAGGGAAGAAACGGUGAGGGCUAAUAUCCUUUGCUAAUGACGGUACCUGAAGAAUAAGCACCGGCUAACUACGUGCCAGCAGCCGCGGUAAUACGUAGGGUGCAAGCGUUAAUCGGAAUUACUGGGCGUAAAGCGUGCGCAGGCGGUUAUGUAAGUCAGAUGUGAAAUCCCCGGGCUCAACCUGGGAAUGGCAUUUGAGACUGCAUGGCUAGAGU